GGGCGCUUAGCUCAGUUGGCUAGAGCAUCUCGUUUACACCGAGAGGGUCGGGGGUUCGAGUCCCUCAGCGCCCA
rfam:Candidatus Saccharibacteria bacterium RIFCSPLOWO2_01_FTLL_48_13 rifcsplowo2_01_scaffold_9817, whole genome shotgun sequence.